UACGGGGGGGGUAAGCGUUGUUCGGAAUUACUGGGCGUAAAGGGCUCGUAGGCGGCCAACUAAGUCGGACGUGAAAUCCCUCAGCUUAACUGGGGAACUGCGUCCGAUACUGGAUGGCUUGGAUUUGGGAGAGGGAUGCGGAAUUCCAGGUGUAGCGGUGAAAUGCGUAGAUAUCUGGAGGAACACCGGUGGCGAAGGCGGCAUCCUGGACCAAUAUUGACGCUGAGGAGCG
rnacentral:rRNA from 1 species